AUUGAACGCUGGCGGCAUGCCUUACACAUGCAAGUCGAACGGCAGCACGGGGGCGAACCCUGUGGCGAGUGGCGAACGGGUGAGUAACAUAUCGGAACGUGCCCUGGAGUGGGGGAGUAACUAGUCGGAAAGACUAGCUAAUACCGCAUACGAUCUACCGGAGUGAAAGUGGGGGAGUCGCAAGACCUCAUGCUCGUGGAGCGGCCGAUAUCUGAUUAGCUAGUUGGGGGGUUAAAGGGCCUACCAAGGCAUCGAUCAGUAGCUGGUCUGAGGAGGACGACCAGCCACACUGGGACUGAGACACGGCCCAGACUCCUACGGGAGGCAGCAGUGGGGAAUUUUGGACAAUGGGGGCAACCCUGAUCCAGCAAUGCCGCGUGAGUGAA
rnacentral:rRNA from 1 species